rnacentral:rRNA from 1 species
UACGUAGGGUGCAAGCGUUGUCCGGAAUUAUUGGGCGUAAAGAGCUCGUAGGCGGUCUGUCGCGUCGGCUGUGAAAAACCCGAGGCUCAACCUCGGGCCUGCAGUCGAUACGGGCAAACUAGAGUACUGCAGGGGAGACUGGAAUUCCUGGUGUAGCGGUGAAAUGCGCAGAUAUCAGGAGGAACACCGGUGGCGAAGGCGGGGUCUCUGGGCAGUAACUGACGCUGGAGGAGCGAAAAGCGUGGGGGAGCGAACAGG